CUUUGGGGUUCCUGGGUGUCACGCAGAUCUCAGUGGAACCUCCAAAUGUUAGAACCUAGUGGGGAAACCCCCACUCGGCGUGCACCCAAAAAAUCAUGAAGGACC
rnacentral:pre_miRNA from 7 species